AGAAUCAAACGCGUAAGGGUGUUUGGUGGAUGCCUUGGCAUUAAGAGGCGAUGAAGGACGUGAUAGGCUGCGAUAAGCUACGGGGAGGUGCCAAUAACCUUUGAUCCGUAGAUCUCCGAAUGGGGGAACCCGUUCUUUAAGAACAUUGCAAUUUGAAUUCAUAGAAUUGCAAAGCGAACCUGGUGAACUGAAACAUCUAAGUAGCCAGAGGAAAGGAAAUCAAAGAUACUCUGUUAGUAGCGGCGAGCGAAACCAGAUCAGUCCAGUUACUCCUUUUAAUCUAAUACUAGAAUAUUUUGGAAUAUAUAACUAUAAAGGGUUAAAGUCCCGUAUAGGAAGAGAUUAAAGAAUGUUUUUACAUGGAGUACAUGAGUAGGGCAGGACACGUGUUAUCUUGUCUGAAUAUAGGGAGACCACUCUCUAAGACUAAGUACUACUUAAUGACCGAUAGUGAACAAGUACCGUGAGGGAAAGGUGAAAAGAACCCCGGGAGGGGAGUGAAAUAGAACUGAAACCAAAUACUUACAAGCAGUCGAAGCAGCUUUAAGCUGUGACGGCGUACCUUUUGCAUAAUGAGCCAGCGAGUUUAUCUGUUUAGCAAGCUUAAGUCGUUAGACGUAGGCAUAGCGAAAGCGAGUUUUAAAUGAGCGUAUAGUUGAACGGAUAAGACCCGAAACCGAGUGAUCUAGUCAUGAUCAGGUUGAAGGAAAGUUAACCCUUUCUGGAGGACCGAACCAUAUCACGUUGCAAUGUGUGUGGAUGAAUUGUGACUAGGGGUGAAAGGCUAAUCAAACUCGGAAAUAGCUGGUUCUCCGCGAAAUCUAUUGAGGUAGAGCGUUAUUUUAAUUUUACAGGGGUAGAGCUCUGAAUAGGCUAGGGGGGAUAGUAUCCUUACCAAACCUAAUCAAACUACGAAUACUGUAAAAUCAUAUAAUAACAGACAGACUCUGGGUGCUAAGAUCCAGGGUCGAGAGGGAAAGAGCCCAGACCAUCAUCUAAGGUCCCUAAGUAUAACUAAGUGAAAAGAAGGAAGUGAUUAGACCAAGACAGUCAGGAGGUUGGCUUAGAAGCAGCCAUCCUUUAAAGAAAGCGUAAUAGCUCACUGAUCUAAAAGUUUUUUUGCACCGAAAAUGUAGCGGGUCUAAGUUAUACACCGAAGAUAUGGGUGACAUAUUAUAUGUCACGGUAGCGGAGCGUUCUGUAAGUCUAUGAAGGUGAAGUGUGAGCUUCGCUGGAGAUAUCAGAAGUGAGAAAGCUGGCAUGAGUAGCAUAAAGAAGUGUGAAAAACACUUCCGCCGGAAGUCCAAGGUUUCCUACGCAAGGGUUAUCCGCGUAGGGUUAGUCGGCCCCUAAGGCGAGGACAAGAGUCGUAGUCGAUGGGAAACAGGUUAAUAUUCCUGUACCUGCUUUUAGUGACGGAGAUGAAGAUAUGUUUAAUCUUAUUGGAUUGAUUAAGCUUAUUUAUUCUUCCAGGAAAUAGCUAAAGCAUUAUAGACCGUACCCUAAACCGAAUCAGGUGGACAGGUAGAGUAUACUAAGGCGUUUGAGAGAAUGGUGUUGAAGGAACUCGGCAAAUUGAUCUCGUAACUUCGGAAUAAGAGAUGCCUAGUCUGGCGAAAGCUAAACUAGGUGGCACAUAAGAGGGAGUGGCGACUGUUUAUCUAAAACACAGGGCUCUGCAAAGAUGAAAGUCUAAGUAUAGGGUCUGACGCCUGCCCGGUGCUGGAAGGUUAAUAUGAUUUGUGCAAGCAUUGAUUAGAAGCCCCAGUAAACGGCGGCCGUAACCAUGACGGUCCUAAGGUAGCGAAAUUCCUUGUCAGGUAAAUUCUGACCUGCAUGAAUGGCGUAACGACUGCUCCGCUGUCUCCAACACCAACUCAGUGAAGUUGAAUUCUCCGUGAAAAUGCGGAGUACCCACAGUUAGACGGAUAGACCCCGUGCACCUUUACUAUAGCUUUACAUUGAUACGACGAUUGUUUCAUGUAGGAUAGGCGGGAGCUUUUGAUAUACAGGCGCUAGCUUGUAUGGAGGCACCCUUGAAAUACCGCCUUUGACAAUUGUUUUAUCUAACCAAAUCUGUGAUCCAGGUUUGAGAAAAUGUAUGGUGGGUAGUUUGACUGGGGCGGUCGCCUCCUAAAGAGUAACGGAGGCGUACAAAGGUAGGUUCAGGUUGUUUGGAAAGCAACUGUUGAGUGCAAUGGCAAAAACCUGCUUAACUGCGAGACAUACAAGUCGAGCAGAGACGAAAGUCGGUCAUAGUGACCCGGUGGUUCUGAGUGGAAGGGCCAUCGAUCAACGGAUAAAAGGUACGCCGGGGAUAACAGGCUAAUCUCUCCCAAGAGGUCAUAUCGACGGGGAGGUUUGGCACCUCGAUGUCGGCUCAUCACAUCCUGGGGCUGAAGAAGGUCCCAAGGGUUUGGCUGUUCGCCAAUUAAAGUGGUACGCGAGCUGGGUUCAGAACGUCGUGAGACAGUUCGGUCCCUAUCUGCUGUGGGCGUGUGGAAAAUUGAAAGGAGCUGCUUCUAGUACGAAAGGACCGAAGUGGACAUACCUCUGGUGUGCCAGUUGUUCUGCCAAGAGCAAUGCUGGGUAGCUACAGUAUGGAACAGAUAACCGCUGAAAGCAUAUAAGCGGGAAGCUGACCUUAAGAUUAGUUUUCCUUAAGGAUCGUGAUAGAACAUCACGUUGAUAGGUUGGGUGUGUAAGUCAAGUAAUUGAUUAAGCUGACCAAUACUAAUAUCCGUUAAGUUUGAUUCU
rnacentral:rRNA from 1 species